AUAUUUAUUACAAUAUAAAAAUCGCUUACCAAAGUUUAAGAUUAUCUGACACAAAGGAUAAAAUAAAUAAAAAAUUAAGUUUCUGGCUUUUAAAAAUUCAUGUAGGCUGCCAAAAACUUAAUUUUUUGUUGGUUUUUGGCUUUUAAAAAUUCACAUAGGUUGUUCAUGUAAGCUUAACUCAGUUGGUAGGGAUAUCAAACUAUAUGUGCAAGGGCUCGGGUUCGAACCCGAAACACUCCACUUAUUCACAUUUAAGGUAAAUUUUCUAGUCACUAAGUUACUUGACAAAAAAAUUCAUGUAGGCUCAAGAGAGGUUAAUUUUCUAGUCACCAAGUUACUAUAAAAGAAACUUGUUACUUGUUUGUAAGAGAAAGGGUCAAGAGAGCAUGUACAAAUUAUAAGCGAAAAGAUGGAAGAGAACUAGUAACACCUAGCCAUGAUGAGCGACUGCAUAAAUUAAGUAAAAAUAAAUAUUUAAACUAAGAACACAAGAACAUUUUAUUGAUACUUGAAAUUUGUUUAUAAGAGUUGAAAUGGAAUUUUACAAAAGAAUGAAAUGACAAAACUUUCGACCUCUGCAUAGAACUCAUUCUUCUGUACAUCGUGAGUUUCAUUUAAUUAUCAAUUGUGUCUUUUUAUGGGAAUUAAAACACAUUUGCCACGCACGCAUACUUCUUCGUGAGUUUCUCGCCUUCCAGUAUGAGAAAAAAAUCCAAAACAAUCUCUAUCAGAUUUACAGUGCCAUGCCUUUGUAGUAAGAAAUAGAGAAAAAAAUAAAAUACAAUACAAUUUGAUCAUUCUCUCUCUCUCUCUCUCUCUCUCUCUCU
rnacentral:lncRNA from 1 species